ACCGAUUGAAUGGUUUAGCAAGGUCCUCGGAUUGGUGCCAUUGUAGUGGCUUCGGCCGCUCGACCGGUGCUGAGAAGACGACCAAACUUGAUCAUUUAGAGGAAGUAAAAGUCGUAACAAGGUUUCCGUAGGUGAACCUGCGGAAGGAUCAUUACCUGAAAAUCUACUCUCACACAAGCGAUACACGUGUGACCGUCAUGUCAUGCGAUAAAAAUUUGCGGACGGCUAUGCCUGGCUCAUUGAGGUCACAGCAUAUCCGAACACUGAUGGGGUGCCUACCUGUAUGAUACUCCGAUGGUAUGCUUGCGUCUCUCGGGGCGCUUGUCCAAGCCAGGAGAACGGGUUGUACUGCCACGAUUGGUAGUGCUAGGCUUAAAGAGGAGAUUUGGGCUACGGCCCUGCUCCCGCCCUAUGAACUGUUUCAUUACUACAUUUACACUGUUAAAGUGGUACUGAAUGGCUUGCCAUUCUUUGCCAUUGCCCUCGCAU
rnacentral:misc_RNA from 1 species